rnacentral:RNase_P_RNA from 1 species
AUAGCAAGUCAGUCUAUCGCCAUUUAUGGAGGAAAGUCCGGGCAAUAUAGAGUACCAUGCUUCCUAACGGGAAGCUAUCUGAAAGGAUAGAGUAAUGCAACAGAAAAUUACCGCCAGUCAUUGACUGGUAAGGGUGAAAAGGUGAGGUAAGAGCUCACCGGUACUUAUGGUAACAUAAGUAGCCGUGUAUCUCAUGGAUUGCAAGACCAAAUAUAUCACGAUUUCUUCGGAUACAGAGCUACUCGCUUUGAUGUUUACAGUCGUGAGGGGUAGGUUGCUGGAAAUUAUGGGUGACCAUAAUUCAAGACAAAUGAUAGACCGUUUCUUCGGAAAUGACAGAACCCGGCUUAUCGACUUGCUAUUUUU